GACGAACGCUGGCGGCGUGCCUAAUACAUGCAAGUCGAGCGAAUGGAUUGAGAGCUUGCUCUUAUGAAGUUAGCGGCGGACGGGUGAGUAACACGUGGGUAACCUGCCCAUAAGACUGGGAUAACUCCGGGAAACCGGGGCUAAUACCGGAUAACAUUUUAAACCGCAUGGAUUGAAAUUGAAAGGGUGCUUCGGCUGUCACUUAUGGAUGGACUCGCGUCGCAUUAGCUAGUUGGUGAGGUAACGGCUCACCAAGGCAAAGAUGCGUAGCCGACCGGAGAGGGUGAUCGGCCACACUGGGACUGAGACACGGCCCAGACUCCUACGGGAGGCAGCAGUAGGGAAUCUUCCGCAAUGGACGAAAGUCUGACGGAGCAACGCCGCGUGAGUGAUGAAGGCUUUCGGGUCGUAAAACUCUGUUGUUAGGGAAGAACAAGUGCUAGUUGAAUAAGCUGGCACCUUGACGGUACCUAACCAGAAAGCCACGGCUAACUACGUGCCAGCAGCCGCCGUAA
rnacentral:rRNA from 1 species